CCCCCAUGACACAAACAUAUAUUAUGCUCCACAAACAAACCAAGGAUGUAUAUAAUUGAAGAAGGCCAAGGUUACCAACGAAAGACGAGAGAAAAAAGAAAGAUCAAACAAUGCCUUCAACCUCUCCUGUUACCAACCAUAUCAAUAUCAGCGAUUUCUAAAAACUCCACUGAUAAAACCAAUUAUCAUAACCUUAAUCCAGCUUACACCAAACAAACACAAAAAUCAACAAUUCUUCUUUAAAAGUCCAAUCCAUCUAUUAGCCAAAUAUAAAUAUAAAAAUUAACAAUAAUAAGAAAAUAUAGGAAAACCCACCUUCAUUUACCUUGAAGACAAUGCCCAAAAAACAGACCAGAAGAGUGGUCAUUAAGUC
rnacentral:lncRNA from 1 species